rnacentral:lncRNA from 1 species
GGUUGAUAUGUUUCAACUACUUUGGAAAUAAUCUAUAUCACAAGAAUUUCAAAAGGUUCAGAGAACAUGCCAUCAAGCCAGAAUUAACACAAUGAAUGCCUUAUUGAAGUUGCAAUUCGGCCAAAAUAAUAUAAGAACUGAACUUACAGUCUUGAAAAGUCUAGUGAAGCUCAAUUCGGCCAAAAGAAUAUAAGAACUGAACUUACAGAAUAUAAUGAAUGCCUUGAGUGGGACAUUUAUGGCAUGCGGCCACAUUGACGGAAGUUCAAUUACCGAUAGAGGUGAAGUUCAGUCAACUUUGUGCAGUUGCAGGCAAUGUGUGCCAAUUCUAUAUAUGUCUGAUAUGUUUGUGCAUAAUCCUAACUUCAAUCUUACAAGUUCUAAGCAUCUUGAAAGNNN